rnacentral:rRNA from 1 species
UAGAGUUUGAUCCUGGCUCAGAUUGAACGCUGGCGGCAUGCCUUACACAUGCAAGUCGAACGGCAGCACGGGAGCAAUCCUGGUGGCGAGUGGCGAACGGGUGAGUAAUAUAUCGGAACGUACCCAGUCGUGGGGGAUAACGCAGCGAAAGCUGUGCUAAUACCGCAUACGAUCUCUGGAUGAAAGCGGGGGACCUGCAAGGGCCUCGCGCGAUUGGAGCGGCCGAUAUCAGAUUAGCUAGUUGGUGGGGUAAAAGCUCACCAAGGCGACGAUCUGUAGCUGGUCUGAGAGGACGACCAGCCACACUGGAACUGAGACACGGUCCAGACUCCUACGGGAGGCAGCAGUGGGGAAUUUUGGACAAUGGGCGCAAGCCUGAUCCAGCAAUGCCGCGUGCAGGAUGAAGGCCUUCGGGUUGUAAACUGCUUUUGUACGGAACGAAAAGGCUCUUUUUAAUAAAGAGGGCUCAUGACGGUACCGUAAGAAUAAGCACCGGCUAACUACGUGCCAGCAGCCGCGGUAAUACGUAGGGUGCGAGCGUUAAUCGGAAUUACUGGGCGUAAAGCGUGCGCAGGCGGUUUUGUAAGACAGAUGUGAAAUCCCCGGGCUCAACCUGGGACCUGCAUUUGUGACUGCAAGGCUAGAGUACGGUAGAGGGGGAUGGAAUUCCGCGUGUAGCAGUGAAAUGCGUAGAUAUGCGGAGGAACACCGAUGGCGAAGGCAAUCCCCUGGACCUGUACUGACGCUCAUGCACGAAAGCGUGGGGAGCAAACAGGAUUAGAUACCCUGGUAGUCCACGCCCUAAACGAUGUCAACUGGUUGUUGGGUCUUUACUGACUCA